rnacentral:tRNA from 1 species
GGGGAUGUAGCUCAGAUGGUAGAGCGCUUGCUUAGCAUGCGAGAGUUAUGGGGAUCGAUACACCACUUCUCCA